CCUACGUUUCGAUGACUUUGUUUUCUCUCUCUUUCUUCCCGCUGCCUUAGCGAAUCUCCGAUGUAGCCGAAAUAGCCUAGGAGAAUCAUUGAUAGUGAGAAAAAAACGUGUUUUAACCUAAUUUGCAAAGUCGCGGAUGCUCAACAGCAUGGCCGGGCUGCAUAACGGCGAUGAGGAACAGACGAUUCCGAGAAAGUGGGUCAAGGCGUUGAUAAGAGAGAGAGAAGGAGAGAAUGGAUGAAAGAGAGAGAGACAGAGAGAGAAAAAGAAAAAGAAAAUGAAAAUGAAAAUAUCAAUGAAAUGUCAAUGAAUAAAUAAUUUAAAACCAUACUCAUUGCAUAUAAUACAAUACAAUUUGUCAAGUAAAAUAAAAGAGAAUUUUAAAACGAAUUCUUUGCCCAACCUCUUUUCUCUUUCUCUUUCUUUCUCUCUCUUUCUCUCCCUCUAUCUCCUUUCGCCUUACUCGGAACUUUUAGCCCCGUUAAACCAAUGCACCCAACGUAAAUUGCACGGUGCACUCACAAUUGAGUAGAAUUUCUAUUUCCAUUUUCUGCUCCUUUUUUUUUCCAUUGUCUUUUCCUUCUUUUCAUUGUUUGCUUCUCUCUUUUGUUUACAUUCACCAUCCACCCUUCCCAUUUGAAAACGUGCUGCAAUACACGUGCCAUGCUCUUCUGCUUGCCCUAAACGAUCUGUUCAACUUUCUUGCAUGAUAAAGUUUGCAAAACUCAUAACAAUUCAUUCAUGUACGGCCGAUGCUCUUCUUAAAAUUAAAAAACCCCCUUUCCCCCUCCUUCCUCCUUGAUAAGCUGAUUUGCAAAUAGUAACGACAAGGACUUUUUGAUGCAAUGCAAAUUUCCAAUUGUCAUUUUUUUUUGCUGUUGAAUAGAUAAACAAAAGAUUCAAAAGGUGAAAGAAUUUAAAUGUUAUUAAAGACAAACAUCUCCUGGCCUCGUGGUGUCUAUCUAAAGUAGAUUAAAAGAGUGACACAAGUAAAAAGGAAAGGAAAGUAGGGUAAUUUAUUUUUAUUUUUAUUUAUUUUUCAUUUUAUUUUUAUUUUAUUUCUUUUAAAUUAAUUCAUUUAUUUUUAUUUUUCUUUUUCUUUUUCUUUUUCUUUUAUUUCUUUUCUUUUUUCUCUCUCUCUUUCUUUCUACUGCUUGGCUUAACGAUCCUUCUUUUCAAGACACUUAAAAACCACAGCACAAAAAUUUACUUUCAGCCAAAUGCACCGUCAACAAACUUUUAAAGUCUGUUUACGCGUGAAUGCUUUUUUUUUGCGAGGUAGCAUUGUUGGAGAUUGUGUUUCAAAAGUUGCACUAAAUGAGUUGCAUUUCGAAGUAGCACUCUGUCAAUUAAACUUGAGGUAGCACUUGCGAGUUGGACUUUUGAGUUGCAUUAAAUACAUGAUCAAGUUCGAGGUGAAAACAUUUCUUAUUCUACUUCAUUCGUAUUUACCUUCUUUUUUGGGGUCUCAACGGCUCCACCAAUUUUCAACUUUUAUACAUUCUCAACUUUUCAUCAUUCUUUCAAAAGCUAUAUCACCCCUCCUCAUCUUGCCAAUGUAAACAAGACCUCUGCAAUCUCCUUGGAAAAUCUUCCUUUCCCUUUACUAGCAUUCCCCCAUGAGAUACUGAAAUACCUCCUAUAAGCAUUCUAUACAUCCUUAUGUAUACCCUCCUAAUAGCUUACUAAUACCUGCCAACAUAAUGUCUAAUUCUGCGUCCAUACUAUGAGGCAAUGUUCAUCCUUCUAUGAAAGCCUCGGAGCUAAAAGAAAACAACAACUAUUUAACUGUUUAUCCAUUUACUUGCAUUCUACUUCCUUGCAUUGCAACGUCCAAUGCUUUCUUCCCUUUAAACACUCAUCCUCCUUUGACAUUGCCGUCGUCUGUUGGCAUACUGAAUGUUUUACAGUGGAAAUUGCCAACACUCAAUUCGCCAUGCUCGUAUCUAAGUAACACAUGCUCGUUCCCACUUUAAUAACCAUUAGGACCCCAUUUUGAAUUUUUUAAAAAUUUUUUGCUAAAGGUACUCCAUUUUCAUCGAUUCGUAUUUGUUUGGCUUGCAUGGAUUUUAGCUGCAUAUCCAUUACUAAGCAAUCGAAAUUAGUUAUUCAACAUUUAUAGAAUGCUACACUACUUUACUCCAUCCCAUAGUCUAUUCAACUUCACAUAGCACUUGGUCCAUGCUUAAAAAAGAAAUAUUCAAACAAUCGUUUUCCUGCCAUUCACCUCAAACUUCAUUUGCUUUGUAAAUUACUUUUCUCAGAAUUAUACGUAAUCUACUGCAUGCCUUCUACAGACAUAACAUAAAAUUCGGCAGAUGAAAAUUGCAAGAACACGUGGAAAAUAUUAUCAAUUUUGUUAAUACAAUAAACAAUUACAAUGUACUUGUUUUUUUCCGACAAAAUCAAUGGAAACCAUGAUAUUCUUUAACUUGAAUAUUACAACGCGAUAUAACAUUCUUCACACUAAAUAAAUAUAAAAAGAAACUUAUCGGACUACACCUUCUUUUUUCUUUACUUUUUAUCCCUAAAGUUCAGUGAAUUAAACUAGUGCACUACGAUUAUACUGUGGUAUUUGUUCGCAACAAGAAAGAGCAUGAACAUAAAAAAUUUUCUUCAAAUCUUUUAGCCUUCCUAUAUAAGAUAUAAACAAGUUAAGUUUAUUUUAUUCUCUUUUUUAUUUUUUACAAACUACCUCCAAUCUAUGUAUUAUGAUCUUUGCACAUGUACUUGAAUAUAAACUACCAGAACCAGUGUACUUGACAAUUUAUCAAAUUAAAAAACUUUACAAUAGCA